rnacentral:rRNA from 1 species
UAGAUAUUAGGCAGCCCACAACAAACACUCCCAGUAACCCGGAGCUGAAUUCAAUGUGUAUGUCCUGCCGGAAUGUCUUUGGUUGGGGCGACCGUGGAAAAUAAAAAUCUUCCAUGAGGACUGGGAACACCUUCCCAAAACUAAGGGCCCCCGCCCUAAGUAGCAGAAAAUCUGACCUAAAUGAUCCGGCCUACGGCCGAUCAACGGACCGAGUUACCCUAGGGAUAACAGCGCAAUCCCCUCCUAGAGCCCCCAUCGACGAGAGGGUUUACGACCUCGAUGUUGGAUCAGGACAUCCUAAUGGUGCAGCCGCUAUUAAG